rnacentral:rRNA from 1 species
UGGGGAAUAUUGGACAAUGGGGGGAACCCUGAUCCAGCCAUGCCGCGUGUGUGAAGAAGGCCUUAUGGUUGUAAAGCACUUUAAGCGAGGAGGAGGGUACUGGUAUUAAUACUACCAGGUACUGGACGUUACUCGCAGAAUAAGCACCGGCUAACUCUGUGCCAGCAGCCGCGGUAAUACAGAGGGUGCGAGCGUUAAUCGGAUUUACUGGGCGUAAAGCGUGCGUAGGCGGCUAAUUGAGUCGGAUGUGAAAUCCCCGAGCUUAACUUGGGAAUUGCAUUCGAUACUGGUUAGCUAGAGUGUGGGAGAGGAUGGUAGAAUUCCAGGUGUAGCGGUGAAAUGCGUAGAGAUCUGGAGGAAUACGGAUGGCGAAGGCAGCCAUCUGGCCUAACACUGACGCUGAGGUACGAAAGCAUGGGGAGCAAACAGG